rnacentral:rRNA from 1 species
AUUGAACGCUGGCGGCAGGCUUAACACAUGCAAGUCGAGCGGGGUGAUGGUGCUUGCACUAUCACUUAGCGGCGGACGGGUGAGUAAUGCUUAGGAAUCUGCCUAUUAGUGGGGGACAACAUCUCGAAAGGGAUGCUAAUACCGCAUACGUCCUACGGGAGAAAGCAGGGGAUCACUUGUGACCUUGCGCUAAUAGAUGAGCCUAAGUCGGAUUAGCUAGUUGGUGGGGUAAAGGCCUACCAAGGCGACGAUCUGUAGCGGGUCUGAGAGGAUGCUCAGCCACACUGGGAGUGAGACACGGCCCGGACUCCUACGGGAGGCAGCAGUGGGGAAUAUUGGACAAUGGGGGGAACCCUGAUCCAGCCAUGCCGCGUGUGUGAAGAAGGCCUUAUGGUUGUAAAGCACUUUAAGCGAGGAGGAGGCUCUUUUGGUUAAUACCCAAGAUGAGUGGACGUUACUCGCAGAAUAAGCACCGGCUAACUCUGUGCCAGCAGCCGCCGUAA